rnacentral:lncRNA from 1 species
AAUACCCAAAAACCACUAAAAUUCAGUGGUCGACUUUGCAUUUAACCCGGUAUUUCAACAAUUAACUGUAAAAAUUUUACCGUUAUUUUAUAAAAAAAUUAUUUAUGUCGCUUUCUAUAUCCGUCAAUUAUUCUGUUGUGAGACCCACAAUUGAUUGGUUAUUUCGGCGCCGUUGUACUUUACCGAAUAUAAUAUUUCCGACAGAAAGAAU